AUUGAAGGUCUCUGAAGAGAUCAUCUGCUGAAGGUCUUAAAAGCCGAGGACUCUCAAGGGGAUCCGGGAGAAACGAAUCGGAAUUUCUCGUGAAAGGUGCCGGAGUUGAGGAGGAUCCUAGGCAUAAUUACUCAAAGCAACAUCUAACGAAAUCCAGUCGGAUCUCAGAAACCCACGAGACAAAACAAGAAGCAAACACUAUCAGAAAGUCUCUCAAAAGAUAUUUCUUAGCCCGAUUCAUCUUCUCGUCCAGCUCAUAAACAGUCCUCACUAACCGGUUAGAAAGAAACUGAUCAUGCAUCAACGCGCUUUAUCCUGCUCAUUUCACGUGGAUCGCCUCCACAUGUUUGCUCUUGUAAUGACGACGAUUGUUGCACUCAUUGCUUUGGAUGCAUCGGAAGCAGGACCGGUCCCCGGGUAUGGGCGGUUUUUUCACACCUCUGAGGACAGCAGAAUCAAUCGGAGAGGGUUCAAGUCGUCGCUUUUGUCGACAGCUCGAGGUUUUGGCAAGCGAAGUGGAGAAAACACCUUACCUCCCAUGGCCUCAGCAACUAAUAACAUAGACGCUCCUGUCAAAGCUUUGGGAAGGGGGAAUGUUCCCACGUACCAUCUGGCGGAGGAAGCCAGCGCUAAUCCCCGUUUGUUGGCACUCCUCGUGAAUCUCUUGGAUGUAAACGGAGACGGCAUGAUUUCGCCGUCGGAAGUCCUCCGCGAGGAAAUUGUCUACUAAUACCAGCGAAGGAAUAGCCAUGAAACAACUAACCAACUACUUAUCCGAACCCAAUUGCUUCUCACCAUGGCGAAAUAAAUCAGCAAGAACACCAAAUGGGAACUCAACAACAACACCUACAACAAAUACCAGCAAAGCAACAUAUCCGCACUCGUUUUAUGGUCGUUCAGCCAUGAGUAGUGGUGACUGAUGCAUCCAUUCAUUCAUUCAUUCAUUACCUAACCAACCAAUUAUUUCAUUAUUUUGCCGGAAUGCUGAUGAGAUUCUAGUUGGUCCUUGUUCAAAACAAUCGUGAAAUUGACCCUGAGGACAAGAUGAUGUCGCAUUGAAGAAAUCGAUUGUUCUUUUCGCUUUGCUUUCAUAUUCUCUAGGAGGAAUAAUGCCGAGUAAGCACACAUCAAAGUAAUGGAGGAGUUUAGAUACCUGAUCCAUGGUUACACAAGUACAAAUAAUCAUCAUUCAUCACCUUGUUCGACGUUUCAAGAUUGUCUUUUUGAAGAGGAUCAACACCGAUUUAUUUUAACCGUCUAUGUUUCGUCUGCCGACAUAUUAUAUGCAUUCAAACAAACAAGUGAAAAAAUAAGGCAAAGUUUUAAGUUUGGGCUGCACAGAUUUGCGUAUUUUAAUGGAUCUUUGACUCAAUCUUUGGUGGACAAUGUUCGACUCAACAACCACUCCUGAGGGACAACUUCUCUUUCACUCUCUCGACCUCUUUCUAUUGUAUCUGCACGUCGUCUCGAAAUUCGAAAUCCGACAAAAAAUCUGCUUCAGAGGGCAACGCGCCUCAAUAAUACCAAGUUUCUCUCAGUCAAGAAAUAUACUCAACCUUGUGAAAUGAUGUCGUCAACCACUAAAACUUAAUCCCAUUCCCCUCCAAAAAAAUCAAUGUAACAGUUAUCCCUGAUGUCAAGCCUUCAUUCUCAUGCACUUUCUAUGCAUUGUACUCACUAAUUUUUUGUUCCGGUGACACAUAUCUUAUUGACUUAUUUUUCUUUAAGUCUCAUGAAUACGCUAACAAAUCAUAAAAGUUGCAUCGAAACGUA